rnacentral:rRNA from 1 species
GUCCACGCCGUAAACGUUGGGCACUAGGUGUGGGCCUCAACCAACGAGGUCCGUGCCGUCGCUAACGCAUUAAGUGCCCCGCCUGGGGAGUACGGCCGCAAGGCUAAAACUCAAAGGAAUUGACGGGGGCCCGCACAAGCAGCGGAGCGUGUUGCUUAAUUCGAUGCAACGCGAAGAACCUUACCUGGGCUUGACAUGUAGGGAAAAGCCGUAGAGAUACGGUGUCAUUCGGGGCCUUACACAGGUGGUGCAUGGCUGUCGU